rnacentral:tRNA from 1 species
AGUUAAUAAGCUCUAAAGCGUUAUGUCUUGAAAACAUAAAAAAGAUUAAAUAAAAUCUAUUAACUU